ACACUCCUACGGGAGGCAGCAGUGGGGAAUAUUGGACAAUGGGCGCAAGCCUGAUCCAGCCAUGCCGCGUGAGUGAUGAAGGCCCUAGGGUUGUAAAGCUCUUUCACCGGUGAAGAUAAUGACGGUAACCGGAGAAGAAGCCCCGACUAACUUCGUGCCAGCAGCCGCGGUAAUACGAAGGGGGCUAGCGUUGUUCGGAUUUACUGGGCGUAAAGCGCACGUAGGCGGACUAUUAAGUCAGGGGUGAAAUCCCGGGGCUCAACCCCGGAACUGCCUUUGAUACUGGUAGUCUUGAGUUCGAGAGAGGUGAGUGGAAUUCCGAGUGUAGAGGUGAAAUUCGUAGAUAUUCGGAGGAACACCAGUGGCGAAGGCGGCUCACUGGCUCGAUACUGACGCUGAGGUGCGAAAGCGUGGGGAGCAAACAGGAUGAUAUACCCCAGUAGUCCCAU
rnacentral:rRNA from 1 species